UACGAAGGGGGCUAGCGUUGCUCGGAAUCACUGGGCGUAAAGCGCACGUAGGCGGCUUUCUAAGUCAGGGGUGAAAUCCUGGAGCUCAACUCCAGAACUGCCUUUGAUACUGGAGAGCUUGAGUCCGGAAGAGGUGAGUGGAACUCCGAGUGUAGAGGUGAAAUUCGUAGAUAUUCGGAAGAACACCAGUGGCGAAGGCGGCUCACUGGUCCGGUACUGACGCUUAGGUGCGAAAGCGUGGGGAGCAAACAGG
rnacentral:rRNA from 1 species